UCAGCUAUAGGAGACGGAGCGGCGGUCAGCCCUUCACCUUGGACCCAGGCUGGCAUUAGGGCAGCCUCUCCCCCUCCCUUGCCUCCCCUCCCCAGACCCCGCCGGGCCGGACAGAAAUGGGACCGAGAAGCACUAGAGCCCUGACCCUCAGGCUCCAUCCUCAUCUCUCCAUUUCCCAAGGUACCACCGCCCCCACCCCCAGCCCCCCUGCCCACACUGGGCUCACGUCAUUGGGAACCAGGAAUUCCUGGGAGCUGGUCUGGGCACUGGGAUCCAGGCCUAAAGGAGAGAAGAGAGUCUUGACCUCAAAGGCCGGGCACAGCCUGGGCAUCCCGGCCGAGUCACUUGACUCCAGCCCUGACCCAAGGCCUCGGGGGAUCCUGGGAAGCCCAUUGCUGAGACCCACAGGACCCACAUCCCCUCCUGUGACCGUCCCUCCCGCUAUCCCAUGCGGCCUCUUGACAGAGACCCUACAGCUUAGCUGGGGCCCGAAGAGGGCCGGCUUCGGGAUUGAUGGGCUCCUCCGCUACUUCACCAUCUAGGGGAUCUGGGCCAGCCCCUUCCCCAUUUCUGGGCGUGCCCUCUGUAAAAUGGGAAGCGGGAGCAGAAAACUCCAAGGUCCCGUGCAGCUGCCAAGCCCGGGACUGACGUGUGUCCAGAAGCUGGGCGAACCCUAUUUUUCAAGGCGUCUGGCCCUUCUCCCAGCCCCAAGAGGCACUGGCUUACCUGGCACCACACUGGGUGAAGCAAAAGGUACAGGAUGGCCUGACAGUUGCUGGAGCUUGCUGACCUGAGCCGAGGAGAAGGGAAAGGGAGCCUGCCAGGCCCGACUUCGGGGAAGGGGAGAGAAUAUGGAAGGCAAGGAGAGAGCAGGGGUAAGGGGGCCUGGCCCCACUCACCUCUGCUGGAGUCACUGUCCCAUACUGGCCCUGAACAGAGAAACCCUGUGUGGGGGGAGGGUGGCAGUUACCAUGGUAACAGCCAACCUCCUUUUCUCUCUGCCUCUCCAUCUCUCUGGGGUAGUGGGGGCAAGAUGCUCAGGCUAGGGAGGGGAUAUUUGGGGAAUCCAAGCAUGUUCCCUACCCCCACCCCAUUCCUUGGACCCACAGCACAGAUCUCCCUUCCCCUUGUACCCCCCCUCCACUGUACCCCCUCCUUGUUACCUGGUUGGCGGAGAGCAGGACGGUGCCCAGGGAGAGGCUGGGGUGGUAAGGGAUGGUAGCUCCUUUGGGAGGGGACUGGAGGGGAUGGGGAGGGGUAUUUGGACAAGGUCCCCAGUGACCAUACCCAACUGACCCCCCCAUGACAUUUAACGAUUCCCCAAUGCUUUGCCAAUUACCCUGCUAUACCUCAAAACCUCACUGAUCCCUAAAUCCUCACUGAGUUCCCUACUAACCCCAAUACCCCACUUAAUCUCCUACUGACUUAUCCAGUAUCCUCCCACAGGCACAACCCCAACCUCUAUGAACUUUUCUAAGAUGUUCCCCGACCAUGCCCGCCCCUAACCUAGGACAAUUCAGAGACACCCCCCUCCCUAUGCCAUAUUCCUCCCCUUCAAUGUCCUGUCCUACAGCACCCACCACAACCCCACGCCACGGGUGUAAGGGAAGAGCUGUUGGCCUCAGUCCUGGGUGCGGAAGAGCUGGUCCUCAGACUUAGCUCAGAAAUGUCCCACUCUCACUCUCUGGGACCUCAUCAGCCAUCUAGCUGCCUCCCCCAUUCCCCACACCCCAAUCAGGACCUCUGACAAGGCCUCUCUGGUUGCCAUGCCCACAGUCUGCUGUUUUCACAACACAACCAGCAGCAAUCCCCAGGAGGCUGUGGGGGUGGUGGGGAGGACAAAGAGGGUCCCUCCCUCCAGUACCUCUAGAAUCACUGCACAGAUCUGGCGCACACAGAGGAUGAUGGCAUCGGGGACACCAGAAACGGUGACUGCCCGCUCUGUAGAGUUGGGAAGCAGGUCUCCAGCCACCUGGACCUGAGCCCCUGUAGUCUAGGGCAGGGAAAAGGAAUGACUCAGACUCUUGCUGUCUGAGAUGGGAAUGGAAGGGAGUGUUCUGCCCAGCCUAUCCAUUCUGGGAGGUCGUGACCCCUGGACUUCCCCUUGGUAGGUAUGGGGUUCGUAGGAGUGGAAAGGGAGAGACAUCACCCUGGGCAAGGCUGGGAAAGCCAACCUUUCCCUGGACUUACCCCAAGAGGGCUUCCAUACCUCCCGGAUCUCCUUAAUCUUGGUCCCUGCCUUCCCAAUGAGGGAACCACACUGACUGGCUGGAAUGACCAGCCGAAGGGUAACUGGGGGUUUAGAGAUGCUGCCACCAUUUGGGGGGCCUGUACAUAGGUCCUAGAGAACAAGGAGGGGAUUAGUCAGCCACCCCCCCCCAAAUAUAUAUAUAUACACACAUACUUCAUCUCCAGGCUUCAUUAUUUCCCUUAUUCUCCAUCUCUCCUCAGCUUUUGAAAAUGCAAUCCAUUCAUUCAAUCCAAUUCCUUCUUCCAGGAAGCUCUCUCUGGAGAAUAUUCUCCCCUUCAAUCCCUGCCCUCCUACUGCUCAUCCCCUGGAGCCCAAAGCACUCAGGACCAUAUACAUAGAUUGACAUUGCUCAGGAGCCUCUUGUUUCCAGCCCUGGAGAAGGACGGCUGUGUGUGUCCGUCUGUCCUCACCCCAGAGAGGUGGGAAAGUUGGAGGCUCUCAGGCUCCGGUACUCUCAGCUACUCACCUGCUCUCGGAUCCUCUUUACCGUCUCCCCUUUCUGUGAAAGGAAGGAAGAAAGGAAAGUACAAUCCCCUGCUCCGGCCGGCACGGAGGGAAUGGUACCAGGACCCUCAAGGCUGAUGAUGACCAUCACUUACCUUUCCAAUGAUGCUGCCCACCUCCUGUCAACACAAGGGGACAAGCCUGGAUCAGAGAAGCUCCGACCUCCCUCUCUCUUAGCCAUCCCCUAUUUCUGGGCACCAAGUUUCUCUCUUCCCUCCUAUUAGCACUGAGGCACCUAGAGUCUAACCAGGCCUUAGUAAUCAAUUGAAAAAAGUCUGGUCUGUUGUAGUAGAUCUGGGGUGUUUUGACUUCUGGAACCACAAUGCUACCCCAGCCCUAUAGCCCCUCAGAGUCCCAGUCCAUGGGUGUCCCACCUCCACCCCCAGCUUCCAUUUUCCCCAAAAGAAGAACGUUGGUAACUCUAGGACCUGGGACAAACCCUACCCCUCCUUUGGACCUCAGUUUCUCCAAGUAAAAUAAGAGAGAUGGUCUCCAAGA